UUUCCCUGAUCAAGAAAGAAGAGCAAAAGGUUAAACAUGAACCUGCAAACUUCCUUUAUUUCCAAGAUGAUCCUCUUUUCCAUUCAGUGCUUGUGUUGAAAAUUGAACUACCCAGAAAUGGAGAUAUGAAGGGUCUCAAGGACACACAGAAACAAGCAAAGGCCACAAGGGAUCCCAGGUCCGUCUCCUGUGCAUCCCAAAUUGGACCUCUGCUGCCACCACAUUUCCUACAUCUCUCAAAGGAACCCCAAAUUCCCAAAGACGUUGCCUUCCUGCCUGGCAAAUUCAACACCCCAUUUAGGCAUGCUGAGAUGUCCACAGAACUGGUCUCGCCUGGACUAAGUCCCCGUUGGGCUGUUCACUCCCUUGGUUGAGCCGCAGGACGGCAUGCAAAUUCACAGGCACAGCGCAGUCGGGAAAUCCUCCUUCCUGCCCAGCCCUUUCCACCCUGUCCAUUUCCGCCUCUAUUUCCUGCCCUCUGUUGUGGGGAAAGGCUUUUCAGGAGGUGAAGGCGAUUGAGAGAAACACGGGUUAUGUGCACAGGGUUGUAGGAACGUGUCUGCCGUAAUCUAAGCCAUUAAAUCCCAACCUGGGGAAGAACGGCACCCACUCUGUCCAUUCCUGUCCUGGAAGAUGCCUCACAAAUGACUUACUGAGCAUGAGCAAAACAGAGGGAAAAGGGAGGGAGCAGAUAAUUCAAUUGCCCCCUCCCCCGGCAUUAAAUAAAAGUAUGAGCCUCAAUAUUUGGCCAACCAAAAGGAAAUCUUGAGAAAAACAGAGGCUGUGGGGAAAAAAGGCUGCCUGGAUACUUUUCGGAGGAUGCCUCCAAGGGCCCGUCCAGACAGUCCCUUCAUCCCAGGAGCUUCCGUAGUAAACAGUAGGGUGGCCAGACACCGUUCCCUGUAAACCCAAAAGCAACCGCUAGAAAAGGCAAAAAACGUGAGAUUUCCAGGUGUGGGAAUAUCGUGGUUUUUGCCAAAUAUCCAGAUCUUUGCAUGUCUGCAUGUCCCUGGAAUCGGAAAUCACAGGAUUUUUGAACUGGGUUUGUUCCCGGGUUUUAGAUGCUUGUUCAUGAUUGGUUGGUUCCUAAAAGGAAGGUGACACUCGAGUAAGAAGGCAAAAACUUUGGCCAGGGAAGAGGAACUUCACCCUUCACCUGUUUAAUGAAGGUUGUGGCCGAAAAAUCGAGUUCCUGGGGUGCAACAAGUACCUUCACAGUAAGCAGUACACAAUGACACAGGAGCAGACACUUUCAAACCAGGAACAGAAUGCCAUCAUUACUAUAAUUACUCACACUUUGUUGUAUGCCAUCGGUGAAGACAGGUUUUGUAGUGUACUUGCGCCAGGGAACAACAUGAUGAUAUUGCCAGGCUAUACAUGUUGGUUCCUCAUUGGGUGUGUGCUGACAACAUGGGUAACGUAAAUGACAAAUGCUUACUACGGGCUGUUGGGACAGGGACGUGCUGGAGAGGAAUGUAAAUAUAUAGAGACAAGGUCAUGCAGGUGGCUAAUAGGGAAAGUCAUGUGGAACCUAGGAACAGCGCCCUGUUGUUCGAUGCCACAAGUACACAACCAAAUCUGUCUGGACAGAUGGCCAGGCAGCCAGGCUGUAAAAGUAGAAGAUAAGGACAAACUUCUGUUCCUGGCUUACAAUUGCCUGUUCCUGUUUUAUUGUGCAGUGCUGACUUGGGCAAGGUGGCCCUGCCCCAUUAGGUUUGUUUGUGUGGCAAAUACUUCAUGAAACGUUUGGAGGGCAGUUUCUCUGGCCAGGACAAAGAACGGAACUGUUGCAGUGAUCCGCAUAUCUGAAUCUCUGCAAAUCUGCAUCUUGCCAUUUUAAAAAAAAAACCCGCUGAGGUUUCAGGCAGAAGUCCUGCAGCAACCAUUUUGGGAGCCUCUAACUCUCGGAACAAAGCAGCAAGUCUGGACAAUGGAGGCAGAAAUCCCAGGACCAACAGGUCUGUAUGUGGACCUCUUCUGAAGUUCUGGGAUCUUUUGCCCCUGUUUAAAACCCGUGAUUUAGUGCUGUCUGGAAGCGCCCCAAGUGGCCUCUACAAGGUCCAAAAUGCUGUUCUCUGCUUCUGAAAGGCUUCCCUGACCUGGGACACACCUACCAUGUAGAACAAACACAAACUGAGUCCAACCUCAGCUGCCAUAGAUCAAUACUAUAGAAUUUUUGGGAGUUGCCAUUCAAUAAGGCAUCAGCUGUCAUGGAUCACUCUAUCUUCGAAGGAAGCCUUAGGAGUGACCAUGCCAUCAAAGAGCUGUGAACAAGAAGCUGUUAAUGAUGACCAUCUGGGUGAUCAAGGGUGGGAGAGGGAAGGUAACCAUAAUGGUUGUUAUGGAGACAGCAGUUAGGUUCCAUGGGAAUGUGUAAACAAUGAGGCGGUGAAAGGAAACAGGGAAGAGAUAUAACCUGGUGCAUUAGGGUUAGAGCUUAGAAGCAACUUUCUUUCUGACAUUAAGCCCUGUCU